rnacentral:rRNA from 1 species
AUCAACGCUGGCGGCGUGCCUCAGACAUGCAAGUCGAACGAUUAAAGCCCCCUUCGGGGGGUGCAUAGAGUGGCGCACGGGUGAGUAACACGUAAGUAAUCUACCUUUGAGUGGGGAAUAACAACCGGAAACGGUUGCUAAUACCGCAUAAUGCAGCGGCACCGCAAGGGUGACAGUUGUUAAAGGAGCAAUUCGCUUGAAGAGGAGCUUGCGGCAGAUUAGCUUGUUGGUAAGGUAACGGCUUACCAAGGCUACGAUCUGUAACCGGUCUUAGAGGACGGUCGGUCACACUGACACUGAAUAACGGGUCAGGCUCCUACGGGAGGCAGCAGUCGGGAAUUUUGGGCAAUGGGCGAAAGCCUGACCCAGCAACGCCGCGUGAAGGAUGAAGUAUUUUCGGUAUGUAAACUUCGAAAGAAUAGGAAGAAUAAAUGACGGUACUAUUUAUAAGCUCCGGCUAACUACGUGCCAGCAGCCGCGGUAAUACGUAGGGAGCAAGCGUUGUUCGGAUUUACUGGGCGUAAAGGGCGCGUAGGCGGCGCUGUAAGUCACUUGUGAAAUCUCCGGGCUUAACUCGGAACGGUCAAGUGAUACUGCAGUGCUAGAGUGCAGAAAGGGCAAUCGGAAUUCUUGGUGUAGCGGUGAUAAUGCGUAGAUAUCAAGAGGAACACCUGAGGCGAAGGCGGGUUGCUAGGCUGACACUGACGCUGACAGCGCGAAAGCCAGGGGAGCAGACGGGAUUGGAUACCCCGGUAGUCCUGGCCUAAACGAUGAAUACUUGGUGCCUGGAGUCUUAAUGCUCCGGGUGCCGUCGCUAACGUUUUUAGUAUUCCGCCUGGGGAGUACGCUCGCAAGAGUGAAACUCAAAGGAAUUGACGGGGACCCGCACAAGCGGUGGAGCAUGUGGUUUAAUUCGACGCAACGCGAAGAACCUUACCUGGACUAGAAUGUGAGGGAAGGGCUUCUAAUAGAGUCCGUCUGGGAAACCAGACCCAAAACAAGGUGCUGCAUGGCUGUCGUCAGCUCGUGUCGUGAGAUGUUGGGUUAAGUCCCGCAACGAGCGCAACCCUUAUGCCCUGUUUGCCGAUCAUUCAGUUAGGGAACUAGUCAAGGGACCUGCCAGUGAUAAAGUUGGAGGAAGGUGGGGAUGACUGUCAAGUCAUCAUGGCCUUUAUGUCAGGGCUACACACGUGCUACAAUGGACGGUACAAAGCGCUCGCCAAUCUCCGCAAGAGGGAGCUAAUCGCAAAAAACCGGUCUCAGUUCGGAUCGGCAGUCUGCAACUCGCCUCCAUGAAGCUGGAAUCGCUAGUAAUCGGCAUAUCAGAACGAUGCGGUGAAUACGUUCCCGGGCCUUGUACACACCGCCCGUCACAUCACGAAAGUAGGAUUGUACUAGAAGUAGCUGCAGGCCUAACUCCGCAAGGGAGGCAGCGUACCAAGGUAUGAUUCAUGAUUGGGUGA